rnacentral:rRNA from 1 species
CUACGGGUCGCUGCAGUGGGGAAUCUUAGACAAUGGGCGCAAGCCUGAUCUAGCCAUGCCGCGUGAGUGAUGAAGGCCUUAGGGUCGUAAAGCUCUUUCGCUGGGGAAGAUAAUGACGGUACCCAGUAAAGAAACCCCGGCUAACUGCCGUGCCAGCAGCCGCGGUAAUACGGAGGGGGUUAGCGUUGUUCGGAAUUACUGGGCGUAAAGCGCGCGUAGGCGGACUGUUAAGUCGGGGGUGAAAUCCCGGGGCUCAACCCCGGAACGGCCUUCGAUACUGGCAGUCUGGAGUUCGAGAGAGGUGAGUGGAAUUCCGGGUGUAGAGGUGAAAUUCGUAGAUAUUCGGAGGAACACCAGUGGCGAAGGCGGCUCACUGGCUCGAUACUGACGCUGAGGUGCGAAAGUGUGGGGAGCAAACAGGAUUAGAUACCCGUGUAGUC